UAAGGGCGACCAAUUUAGAAAACAACAUACGGUGUCCCUACUGUCGAACCUCACAUAGGAUACCUUCAACUGGUGCAGCAGGUUUUAACACAAAUUACGAUUUACAACGAAUAAUUGCUGCCGACACUCUUCCUGGUGUACCAAAUGUUUCGGAGACUACAACUCAUGCCCAACGAUACAUUGAACGCUAUCGUGAAGCGACUUCAAGUAACAUUAAUGCUGUGAGGCAACAAAGCAUACCAACUGUCUCAUCAACUAUCGAUCGUCCUAACAACGUGUAUAAUUAUAGGCAACGGCAACAACAAGAAGCUGACCGCCUGCUUGCCUUACAAUUGUCAACCAAUAGUUCUGUUAACUAUAGCGGACAACAACAAAACAUAGAUAGAAGACUACAAGAAGAAAGAGAAAGAAGACAACAAGAAGAAAGAGACAGAAGACAACAACAAGAAAGGGAUAGAAGACAACAAGAAGAAAGAGAUAGAAGACAACAACAAGAAUGAUAUAGAAGACAAGAAGAAAGAUAUAGAAGACAAGAAGAAAGAUAUAGAAGACAACAAGAAGAAAGAAAUAGAAGACAUCAAGAAGAAAUAGAUAGGAUACAACAACAACAACAAGAAAUAGAUAUAAUACAACAACAACAAGGUGAAAGAUAUAGAAUACAACACGAAAGAGGGAAUCACUUAAACGUCGGCACAUGUGGUUUUAUAACAAGUAUAAGACGACAGAAACAGCGUGUUGUUCAUGCUCUUUUGAAUGAUCAUUGUGUUUGUAAGUAUACACUCUUUUUUGAAGAUUGUGUCAAAGUUGACAGUCUCUGAUUUGUGAAAGUAGUAAAAGUUACUAGUUGACAUAAACGUUAAGCUGGAUCAUAAGGUUUUCAUGAUAUCUUUUCAAAUGCGUGACGUAUGACAUAAUCAUUUAUAUCAUGCUUUUACCAUGAUUGAAACUUGAUAUUAUAUAUAUGUUUUGAUGUAUUGUCAGCAGACACAAAAUGAAUUCUAUGCUCCCGGAAGGACAACAUAUAGACGCGACCUUGUACGUCCUUUUCCCGACUGUUCUUUAUUCAUCUGUUCAAGAUUAUAAUUUUAAACCAUUAAUGAUAUUUCAUUGAAAUAAAACGAACAUAAAUCUACACCAUUUUUUUAAAUGAUAUCCCAUAAUAUUACUCAAUUUGUUUGUUAUGUUUGUUUAUUUCAUUUUACGCCUUUUCCCAUCAGUAUUUCAGUCAUAUAGGCGGGUAGUUUCCUAACCAUCUUUCCUGGAGUGUUACACCGGUACUAUACUACCUUCUUCCCCCGUGUUAAACAACCAAAGCAUAUCCCGGGGAUUGAACCCACUGGAUUAGAAGUCAUCGACUCUAACCCCUCGACCACUUAAUAUUACUUAAAGUGUAUUGUUCUAUAAUACUGUAAGGUCUGUAGUACAACGAAUAAUUACGUUGAAAGUAUUAAUAAUCAGACACAACAUCAAACCAUCAAGUUUUAGUAGGUGUAGCAGAUAAUAAAAUGUUCUUAAACAAAAUAUUAUUCAUCAUGCGUAUAAAUAAAGAAAUGCAAUAAAGUCCCCGUUUAGGUAGAUUCAGUUAAAGAAAUAUACCACCUGGCCUAUCAUUUUGUUUAAAUCUUACAAAGAUAGGGAACUUUUCAGAGUUAUUGGAUCAAGCACAUUAACCGGCACAAAAUAUAGGAACAUCCGAAAAAUUUCCUGAAUAGAAAGUAAACGAAAAGUUCUAUAUGAAGUUGCCAGAAUAUCUCGGGAAAUAAAGUUAGACUAGGAUUAACUUUACAGCGACGACACGUUGUAUAAUAUGCAACAGGAGCCGGAAAAGACACAAGCGCAAGACCUAAAACAUACAGAAAUUCAAAAUUUUAGAAACACACUUAACAAAGACACAAAGCCAAACCAAUCACGAAACAAAACAAGCGAUGUUAAUACGUAUAUAAAGAGACCACGACAAACCAUUUGGCCAUCAGGAAAAUGACCGGUUUGGAUGUUAUUUAAUCUCAAAGAAAGGAUUUAAUAAUAUAAAUACACCAAUUUCCGAGAUAUGGAGGUAAAGCAGAACCGCCUGACCUAAAAUUGAAAUAUUCUACGUUAUUUUUAAAACAACAAUAAUAUCUCUAAAAAUAAACGCUACUCACCCAGAGUACCUUACCUUAACUGAUGUAAUUUCCACUAAAAACUCAGCAGCAACAGAUUCAAAAUAACUGUACAUUGACACAUGAUAUUUACACUACUCUCAAACAAUGCAUGCAUCGUUGUAGGGAAAAUAUUAAUUGUAUGAUUAUUCUGAUAUUGACAUCCCGCUGAAAACAAAUUCGAUGAGUUAUCGAUUGCACCGCCAUUGCGAGGGAUGUCUUCUCGUACUUGGUAUGCUGGGGAAAAAGGCAACUUCUCCACCGAGCAAGACUCAAGCCUAAAAAAACAAAACAAAAUACUUAUAAUGAGUACGAGUCGCUGUCUGACUGUUUAGCUUUCACACAUGUAUCGAAACAUUCAUCGUCAAUAUUAAACUAUGUCUGCAACAAGACAAAUAAAGUUAUAUCAAAUCAAACAAGUAUGACACUUUAGCAAUAUCCAAAAGUUACCAACGCCCCGGCAUGCCAAUUUAAAUAAAAAUAUCUAAAGUGUUGAACCAACAAUAUUUUCAUCAAAUGUAUAUAUUUUCUAACGCAAUUUACAUACAGAAAAUAAAUUACAGCUAGAAAACAGAUUGUGGAUAGAAAAUGUAAAACAAUAUUUAUGUGAAACUAGUUUUUCUAGCUUGGUACAUAGAACGUUUAAGCAGUAGUAAAUCGCUGCCAAACACUACAUUUCAAAAGAUAAAAGAUAUUAAUGCGCAUAAUUGGCGUUCUGAACAAAAUAACACUUGAUAUACAAGCGUUUACAAAUAUAUGUAUAUCAAAUAUCUUUCUUCAAGUAGAUAUUACCUAGAUAAACUACCAGGCAAUUCAGCUACGAUAUGUUUACUAUUUUUAACUUCCAAUUUAAAUAGGACGAUGGCAGAACAUACUUACUCAU